UACGUAGGGUGCGAGCGUUAAUCGGAAUUACUGGGCGUAAAGCGUGCGCAGGCGGUGAGCUGUGUCCGAUGUGAAAGCCCCGGGCUUAACCUGGGAAUGGCAUUGGAAACUGGCUCGCUGGAGUGUGGCAGAGGGGGGUGGAAUUCCGCGUGUAGCAGUGAAAUGCGUAGAGAUGCGGAGGAACACCGAUGGGCGAAGGCAGCCCCCCUGGGCUAACACUGACGCUCAGGCACGAAAGCGUGGGGAGCAAACAGG
rnacentral:rRNA from 1 species